rfam:Chlorocebus sabaeus isolate 1994-021 chromosome 21, whole genome shotgun sequence.
GGGGGUAUAGCUUAGGGGUAGAUCGUUUGGCUGCAGAUCGAGUGGUCCCUGGUUCAAAUCUGGGUGCCCUCU